rnacentral:rRNA from 1 species
UACGUAGGGUGCGAGCGUUAAUCGGAAUUACUGGGCGUAAAGCGUGCGCAGGCGGUUUUGUAAGUCAGAUGUGAAAUCCCCGGGCUCAACCUGGGAACUGCGUUUGAAACUGCAAGGCUAGAGUAUGGGAGAGGGAGGUAGAAUUCCACGUGUAGCAGUGAAAUGCGUAGAUAUCAAGUGGAACACCAGUGGCGAAGGCGAGUCUCUGGACAUUUCCUGACGCUGAGGCACGAAAGCCAGGGGAGCAAACGGG